rnacentral:rRNA from 1 species
UACAGAGGUCUCAAGCGUUGUUCGGAUUCAUUGGGCGUAAAGGGUGCGUAGGUGGCGCCAUAAGUCGGGUGUGAAAUUUCGGAGCUUAACUCCGAAACUGCAUUCGAUACUGCGGUGCUUGAGGACUGGAGAGGAGACUGGAAUUCAUGGUGUAGCAGUGAAAUGCGUAGAGAUCAUGAGGAAGACCAGUGGCGAAGGCGGGUCUCUGGACAGUUCCUGACACUGAGGCACGAAGGCCAGGGGAGCAAACGGG